CAAUAGCGUAUAUUAAAGUUGUUGCAGUUAAAAAGCUCGUAGUUGGAUUUCUGGUCUGAUGCCCUGGCCCGCACCUUUUUUGGUGUGAGUGCCGGUUGUGCGUCUACCAUCCUUCUAGAAAACGUUCCUACCCUUCAUUGGGCCGGGUUCGCGAUCUAGAUCAUUUACUUUGAAAAAUUAGAGUGUUUAAAGCAGGCUGUUGCUGUGAAUACAUUAGCAUGGAAUAAUAAUCUAGGACUUCGGUUCUAUUUUGUUGGUUUCUAGUACUGAAGUAAUGAUUGAUAGGGAUAGUUGGGGGUGGCUAGUAUUUAGGGGCCGAGAGGUGAAAUUCUUGGAUUCUCUAAAGACUAACUUAUGCGAAAGCAUUCACCAAGGAUGUCUUCUUUAAUCAAGAACGAAAGUUGGGGGAUCGAAGACGAUCAGAUACCA
rnacentral:rRNA from 1 species